rnacentral:rRNA from 1 species
AUGAACGCUGGCGGCGUGCCUAAUACAUGCAAGUCGAGCGCACAGACGAGGAGCUUGCUCCUCUGACGUUAGCGGCGGACGGGUGAGUAACACGUGGAUAACCUACCUAUAAGACUGGGAUAACUUCGGGAAACCGGAGCUAAUACCGGAUAAUAUAUUGAACCGCAUGGUUCAAUAGUGAAAGACGGUUUUGCUGUCACUUAUAGAUGGAUCCGCGCCGCAUUAGCUAGUUGGUAAGGUAACGGCUUACCAAGGCGACGAUGCGUAGCCGACCUGAGAGGGUGAUCGGCCACACUGGAACUGAGACACGGUCCAGACUCCUACGGGAGGCAGCAGUAGGGAAUCUUCCGCAAUGGGCGAAAGCUUGACGGAGCAACGCCGCGUGAGUGAUGAAGGUCUUCGGAUCGUAAAACUCUGUUAUUAGGGAAGAACAAAUGUGUAAGUAACUAUGCACGUCUUGACGGUACCUAAUCAGAAAGCCACGGCUAACUACGUG